CUCUGUGCAUUCAGAAGAGAAGAACAUUUCUGAGUCCUCACGAAACUAUUUCAGUUACAUACAGUGAAUUAGACAAAUUAAGUGUAUACCUUGAUGAGUAUACAUGUGACAACACCCAACCCAAGGUGCAGAAUAUUUAUAAUACCUAAGAAGAAUCCUUUGUAUGUGCCCCUUGAAGGUGAAAUUUUCCAAAGUUUUAACAAAAGGUUAGAGAAGACAGCAAGUUCAAAAAAGGAGAGGGAAAGAAAGAAAGAGAAAUAGAGAGAGAGGAAUAUCUUUGACCAUCAGUCUGUGACCUGCCCCUUCUCUUUACGGAACUGGUGUUUUUAAUGUCAUGUGAGGACAACAUUACACAAUGGAUCUUUGGCAGGGAUACACAGAAAUGAAUACCGUGUGCGAACAAACAUUAAAUGGCAGUCUUAAUUAC
rnacentral:lncRNA from 1 species